rnacentral:rRNA from 1 species
UACGGAGGGAGCUAGCGUUGUUCGGAAUUACUGGGCGUAAAGCGCACGUAGGCGGCGAUUUAAGUCAGGGGUGAAAGCCCGGUGCUCAACACCGGAACUGCCUUUGAGACUGGAUUGCUUGAAUCACGGAGAGGUGGGUGGAAUUCCGAGUGUAGAGGUGAAAUUCGUAGAUAUUCGGAAGAACACCAGUGGCGAAGGCGGCCCACUGGACGUGUAUUGACGCUGAGGUGCGAAAGCGUGGGGAGCAAACAGGG